GACGAACGCUGGCGGCGUGCUUAACACAUGCAAGUCGAACGGAAAGGCCUCUUUCGGGGGGUACUCGAGUGGCGAACGGGUGAGUAACACGUGAGUAACCUGCCCUUGACUUUGGGAUAACUUCAGGAAACUGGGGCUAAUACCGGAUAGGAGCUCCUGCUGCAUGGUGGGGGUUGGAAAGUUUCGGCGGUUGGGGGUGGACUCGCGGCGUAUCAGCUUGUUGGUGGGGUAGUGGCUUACCAAGGCUUUGACGGGUAGCCGGCCUGGGAGGGUGACCGGCCACAUUGGGACUGAGAUUCGGCCCAGACUCCUACGGGAGGCAGCAGGUGGGAAUAUUGCACCAUGGGUGGAAGCCUGAUGCAGCAACGCCGUGUGCGGGAUGACGGCCUUCGGGUUGGAAACCGCUUUCGCUCAUGACGAAGCUUUGUGUGACGGUAGUGGGUAAAGAAGCACCGGCUAACUACGUG
rnacentral:rRNA from 1 species